rnacentral:rRNA from 1 species
CACGUAGGGGGCAAGCGUUGUCCGGAUUUAUUGGGCGUAAAGAGCUCGUAGGCGGUUCGGUAAGUCGGGUGUGAAACCUCCAGGCUCAACCUGGAGACGCCACCCGAUACUGCUGUGACUAGAGUCCGGUAGGGGAGCGUGGAAUUCCUGGUGUAGCGGUGAAAUGCGCAGAUAUCAGGAGGAACACCAGCGGCGAAGGCGGCGCUCUGGGCCGGAACUGACGCUGAGGAGCGAAAGCGUGGGGGAGCAAACAGG